UGGGGAAUAUUGGACAAUGGGCGCAAGCCUGAUCCAGCCAUGCCGCGCGAGUGAUGAAGGCCCUAGGGUUGUAAAGCCCUUUCACCGGUGAAGAUAAUGACGGUAACCGGAGAAGAAGCCCCGGCUAACUUCGUGCCAGCAGCCGCGGUAAUACGAAGGGGGCUAGCGUUGUUCGGAUUUACUGGGCGUAAAGCGCACGUAGGCGGACUUUUAAGUCAGGUGUGAAAUCCCGGGGCUCAACCCCGGAACUGCCUUUGAUACUGGAAGUCUUGAGUAUGGUAGAGGUGAGUGGAAUUCCGAGUGUAGAGGUGAAAUUCGUAGAUAUUCGGGGGAACACCAGUGGCGAAGGCGGCUCACUGGACCAUUACUGACGCUGAGGUGCGAAAGCGUGGGGAGCAAACAGG
rnacentral:rRNA from 1 species